CACGUAGGGACCAAGCGUUGUCCGGAUUCAUUGGGCGUAAAGAGCUCGUAGGCGGUUCGGUAAGUCGGGUGUGAAACCUCCAGGCUCAACCUGGAGACGCCACCCGAUACUGCUGUGACUAGAGUCCAGUAGGGGAGCGUGGAAUUCCUGGUGUAGCGGUGAAAUGCGCAGAUAUCAGGAGGAACACCAGCGGCGAAGGCGGCGCUCUGGGCUGGAACUGACGCUGAGGAGCGAAAGCGUGGGGAGCGAACAGG
rnacentral:rRNA from 1 species